UACGAAGGGGGCUAGCGUUGCUCGGAAUCACUGGGCGUAAAGCGCACGUAGGCGGCUUUCUAAGUCAGGGGUGAAAUCCUGGAGCUCAACUCCAGAACUGCCUUUGAUACUGGAGAGCUUGAGUCCGGAAGAGGUGAGUGGAACUCCGAGUGUAGAGGUGAAAUUCGUAGAUAUUCGGAAGAACACCAGUGGCGAAGGCGGCUCACUGGUCCGGUACUGACGCUGAUGUGCGAAAGCGUGGGUAGCGAACAGG
rnacentral:rRNA from 1 species